UACGUAGGGUGCGAGCGUUGCCCGGAUUUAUUGGGCGUAAAGGGCGCGUAGGCGGGAUGGCAAGUCGGUCGUGAAAUCCUUCGGCUCAACCGAAGAACGUCGAUCGAUACUGCUGUUCUUGAGGGUUGCAGAGGAGACUGGAAUUCCCGGUGUAGCGGUGAAAUGUGUAGAGAUCGGGAGGAACACCGGUGGCGAAGGCGGGUCUCUGGGCAAUUCCUGACGCUGAGGCGCGAAAGCGUGGGGAGCAAACGGG
rnacentral:rRNA from 1 species